rnacentral:rRNA from 1 species
ACGGAAGGCAGCAGUAGGGAAUAUUGCACAAUGGGGGAAACCCUGAUGCAGCGACGCCGCGUGAGUGAUGAAGUAUUUCGGUACGUAAAGCUCUAUCAGCAGGGAAGAUAAUGACGGUACCUGACUAAGAAGCCCCGGCUAACUACGUGCCAGCAGCCGCGGUAAUACGGAGGAUGCAAGCGUUAUCCGGAUUUAUUGGGUUUAAAGGGUGCGUAGGCGGACUGUUAAGUCAGCGGUGAAAUACCACGGCUCAACCGUGGGGCUGCCGUUGAUACUGGCGGUCUGGAGUACGAUCGGCGCCGGCGGAAUGUGUCAUGUAGCGGUGAAAUGCAUAGAUAUGACACAGAACACCGAUCGCGAAGGCAGCUGGCGAGAACGAUACUGACGCUGAGGCACGAAGGUGCGGGGAUCAAACAGGAUUAGAUACCCUGGUA